rnacentral:rRNA from 1 species
UACGGAGGGUGCAAGCGUUGCUCGGAAUUAUUGGGCGUAAAGCGCGUGUAGGCUGUUAUCUAAGUCUGGUGUGAAAUCCCGGAGCUCAACUCCGGAAGUGCAUUGGAUACUGGAUAACUAGAGGACGAGAGAGGAUGGUGGAAUUCCUGGUGUAGGGGUGAAAUCCGUAGAUAUCAGGAGGAACAUCAGUGGCGAAGGCGGCCAUCUGGCUCGUUCCUGACGCUGAGACGCGAAAGCGUGGGGAGCAAACAGG